ensembl:lncRNA
AAUUGGGUGCUCCAACAGCACAAUGAUCCUAAGCAUCAAAACUGGCUUUGUAAUGGAUAAAGCAAAAUAACAUUAGGAAAAUUUGAUAAUUUGUCUUUGACCUUUCUUCAUUCUCAUCUCACGAGGCAAACUCUUGCAUGGAUGUCCAGACCAAGGGUGAUUGCUGCUAUUUGGUCUUCUUGCCCAUGAUGGUGGUGGAAAGGCUGGAAUGGAGGAAGCGAAGCUGAUUCUGUGGACAGCUGCUUAGGAUGGACAAACCCAGCCCAGAGUAAGCAGCAGAAAAUGGAUGGAUGGAAGUUUGUCAGACCAGUUGUGAUAUAAUCCAAUCGGGUGGGUUUGUUUAUGACUUUUACAAUCCUUGUCACCGCCCUGGAUCUUUAACCCAGUGUUUUUGGUCGUUCAAGUUCUGUUCAUUAUUAAAGAUCUUCAGUUUGAUUCUCAGUCUGCUUAUUGUUUAGAUUAUAGUCUCAUUUCUCAUUAGCCUCUGUGUGUUUGUGUGCUUUUAAAAACUAGGUUUAUUGAGUUCUUUGUCAUAUUGUACCUGUCUGUUUCAUUACAUUGUUUCCUAUAAUCUUGGAUUUUAUUUCUUGUACUUCUGGACUCCUUGUACCUUGGUAUUUGGAUUUAUGUUCAGAACUCUUUC